rnacentral:rRNA from 1 species
GAUGAACGCUGGCGGUACGCCUAACACAUGCAAGUCGAACGAACUUUUUUGAACUUUAAUCUCGAAACUUUCGUAGUCUCAAGAUACGAAGCUCAAAAUCGUUAGUGGCGGACGGGUGAGUAACACGUUGGAACCUGCCCCGAAGAGGGGGAUAACUACCCGAAAGGGUGGCUAAUACCCCAUAUACUCCGAUUUAUUCGGAGGAAAGCUUUUGCGCUUCGGGAGGGGCCUGCGUAACAUUAGCUUGUUG